rnacentral:rRNA from 1 species
ACGAACGCUGGCGGCAGGCUUAACACAUGCAAGUCGAACGGAUGUAGCAAUACAUCAGUGGCAGACGGGUGAGUAACACGUGGGAACCUUCCUCGUUGUACGGAACAACUCAGGGAAACUUGAGCUAAUACCGUAUAAGUCCGAGAGGAGAAAGAUUUAUCGCAAUGAGACGGGCCCGCGUCGGAUUAGCUAGUUGGUGGGGUAACGGCCUACCAAGGCGACGAUCCGUAGCUGAUCNGAGAGGAUGAUCAGCCACACUGGGACUGAGACACGGCCCAGACUCCUACGGGAGGCAGCAGUGGGGAAUCUUGGACAAUGGGCGCAAGCCUGAUCCAGCCAUGCCGCGUGAGUGAAGAAGGCCUUAGGGUUGUAAAGCUCUUUUGCCCAGGGACGGAUAAUGACGGUACCUGGAGAAUAAGCCCCGGCAAACUUCGUGCCAGCAGCCGCUGU